GUGCUCGCUUCGGCAGCACAUACACUAAAACUGGAACGAUACAGAAAUUAGCAUGGCCCCUGCACAAGGAUGAAACGCAAAUUCGUGAAGCAUUCCAUAUUUUU